UGGGAGCCUUUCCGUUGUGAGAACGAAGGCUGAUUCAACGUGCAGGAGAGGGCUGGAUAACAGGAUCCUUCCCUACUAGCUGGGAUGGCCCUUGACACAGUUGAGGAUACACACUUGAGUUGCAGAAGGAAACUUUGGAUCAGAGUUACAAGCAAUCUCAUUUUUUAAAACGCCUGGGGCGUAGAGAUCUUCUUUCAUGGGCUUUUGAAAAGUUUAGGAAAGAGAGGUUAGCAAGACACACUUCUCAGCUGUUUUUGGAGUCCUAACCCUUGACACUAUUCCUACUGUUGCUGCUCUUCUAGCAUGUUGCAUCAUGCUUAGGU